rnacentral:rRNA from 1 species
AUUGAACGCUAGCGGGAUGCCUUACACAUGCAAGUCGAACGGAGUGGCGAACGGGUGAGUAAUGUAUCGGACAGUGCCCAGUAGCGGGGGAUAAAUACGCGAAAGCGUAGCUAAUAACGCAUACCAUUGGAACGGCCGAUAUUGGAUUAGCUAGUUGGUGGGGUAACGGCUCACCAAGGCGAAGCACCAUAGCGGGUUUGAGAGUUUGACCAGCCACACUGGGACUGAGACAGGGCCCAGACGCCUACGGGAGGCAGCAGUGGGGAAUUUUGGACAAUGGGGGAAACCCUGAUCCAGCCAUCCCGCUUGGGCGAUGAAGGCCUUCGGGUUGUAAAGCACUUUUGGCAGGAAAGCGGUACCUGCAGAAUAAGCACCGGCUAACUACGUGCCAGCAGCCGCGGUAAUAC